rnacentral:rRNA from 1 species
CACGUAGUUAGCCGGAGCUUCCUCCUAAGGUACCGUCAUUAUCGUCCCUUAAGACAGAGGUUUACAAUCCGAAAACCUUCUUCCCUCACGCGGCAUCGCUGCAUCAGAGUUUCCUCCAUUGUGCAAUAUUCCCCACUGCUGCUUCCCGUAGGAGUCUGGGCCGUGUCUCAGUCCCAAUGUGGCCGUUCUACCUCUCAGUACGGCUACUGAUCGUCGCCUUGGUGAGCCGUUACCUCACCAACAAGCUAAUCAGACGCGAGCCCAUCUUUAAGCGAUAAAUCUUUGAUACACAAACCAUGCGGUUCGUGUAUGUUAUGCGGUAUUAGCGGUCGUUUCCGACCGUUAUCCCACUCUUAAAGGCAGGUUGCUCACGUGUUACUCACCCGUCCGCCACUAACUUAAGAGAGCAAGCCCUCUCAAGUCCGUUCGACUUGCAUGUGUUAAGCGUGCCGCCAGCGUUCGUCCUGAGCCAGGAUCAAACUCU